UUUAUGAAAAAAUGACAACAUUGAAGCUUUGUCCAAAACACUCCUUAAGAAUGCAUCUAAAACCCACCAUGGAGAUUUGUCCAGCCAUUUCUUACCCAAAUAAGCGACACGAGUAACUAAGUGAGCCAGAAUAGGUGUAUAAAUAGACGUAUAAGAUGGCGAAAUCUAGUAAUAUUGACUCGAACUUGAGUUUAGUUGAACUCGUUCAACAAAAAGAAAAAGAGUGGCGAGAAGCUCAAGAUUUAAGAGUAAAGUCUUUAGAAGUAUCACUAAAAGAACAGGAAAAAUUACUGAAUAAUGAGAGACUUCGCUUUAAGAAGCUUAGAGAAGACUUUGAGUAUAAUCUUCAGUUGUUAUCUGAACGGGACCAGGAGCUGGAAAGAUAUGACCAGAUAUUUGCUAAAUACAAGAAUAUUGAGAGUGAACGAGACGGGGAAAUUAGUGAAUUGAAGAUCAAGAUGGAUGAUUUGAGGUCAAAGCUUCUUCAAGAGGAAAAUGCACGAGAAGAACUACAGAAGUAUUAUCAAAAACGUCUGCGAGAACACCAACAAGAGAUGCAACAAUUUGUUAUUGCUAAAGAAUCUGAGGUGAAAAAAGAAAGAGACAACCUUGAAAGGUUCAAGAGAGAGUUACAACAUCAAAUAAGAACAGUAGAAGAGGAUAUGGAAAGCCAGCGUCACUUGUUAAUGUCAGGGUACGAUGAUGAACUGCACAAGAGACAGCAUGAAUAUCGCAUUAAGUUGGAUGAGAUGAGUAACAGACUGCUAGAAAAAGACUUGAAGGUAAAAAUGCUAACAAAAGAAGUAGAAAUACUGCGGUCUUAUGAGGAACGAACCAAAACAGAACUACAGACAACUGAAACAAGCGUACAAGAACUGGAAAAGAAACUGAAAUUGAAAGAAUGGGAAUUAAUGGAUAAAGAAAAUAUGAAUGCUGCUAAAUUAUCAGAUACAGAAUCAAAAAUGGAGCAAAUGCAAGCUUCAAUGAAAAAGUCGCAGGCUAUCUUUGAACACAAACAAGCAGAAUUAGACCGGUAUGCCAGAGAAAAGGAGACUGCGCUGCUUGCUGCUAAAGAGACACAUCAACAGCGUGAAAGACAGCUUGAGGAUACUAUCCGUGAAUAUCAAGAUAAAUUGGACACUGUUGAAGUAGAGUACAGACAGUUAGAAUGGGAAAACAAAGAUAUCAUGAAAGAUAAAGACAUGAAAGUACAGAGACUUCAGAAGAAGCUUGCAGAAAGUGAAGAAAGACUGUCUUCACAAGCAGCUGAGUUCUCUCGUUCAACAGUAUCCAAGGAUCUGGAGCUGGAGGCACUCAGACAACAAGAAGAGAAACUACGCAUGGAUGUCAUUCAGAGAACAGAAGAUGUGGAGAGAUACAAGAAGGAUCUAUCAAUGGCAUCGGAAAGGGAGUCUAGCCUGGAGCGAGCCAAAACACAGGUUGAACUCGACUGGCAACGAAGAUGUGAAGACGCUGAAAGAGCAGCUUAUGAGAAACAAGAAGGAUUGAUUAGAAAUCUAACCCGUGCUAAAGAUGAGGCUGUCGCUGCUGUCAAAGAAAAGGACCGGGAACUGAAUCAANGUGAAAACCUUAUAAGGAUAUUAACAGAGACUAGAGACCAGGCUCUCGCUACUCUACAGAGACACGGCCUAUCUGUACCUAUGCAUUUACCUGAUAAAGAAAUCCCUGGGGAUGAGGUUUUAGGGAGGGAACAUCUAACAAACGAGGACGAUGUCGAAGAAUUACAAAGACAGAAUCAAAACCUGAGGGACGUUAUUCGACAGAUGCGCCAAGAUAUGGAGGACCUUAAUAACCAGUUAGCAAGUAGGCCCCCUUCGGUUAUGGUAACUACCUUAGAUGAGGACCAAGAACAAAGCAGUGUACCGUUAACUUCCGAAUAUGUCAAAUCACUGGAAAAAGAGGUUAUUGAGUUAAAAUCAAAGAACAGAUCGCUAAGCAAACGACUAGAGGAUUUGACGCUGAGCCAUAAGCCUCCCCAGGGAACUGGGCACAGUAACAAACAGGCCAGGGUACUAGGAAAAAUUGACGAUCCUUUUGUACAAAGUCACGUGAAGGAACUAAACGAUACUAUUGGAGUGCUACGUCAGGACAAGUUGCAUCUCACUGCGCAAGUGCGAAAACACGAAGCGACCACUGCGCACCUACAAGGACUGGUCGCUUCAACACAAGACCAGUUGCGUCAAAAACAAGUAGCCCUUGAUCAAGCGCAGUAUGAUCUGACGACUCUGACUCGACGAACUGCAGAAGAAUCCAAUGCGCAGAGACAGCGCAUGUUAGAACUAGAACUACAGCUGGCCCAAGUACGGCGGGAGGCAGAUGAAUAUUUUAAGAGUGGCCUUGAAAGAAACUUGGAAGCAACGACUUUGGGAAACCAGUUGUCAGUCUUAAAGCUCGAGCUGGCAUCCCAAGGGAAAUCUACCGCUACCUUUAACCCACAAACUGCUGUUGUUAAUGAGUUACAGGAUGAGAUUCAGAGAUUGCGCAAGCAGCCUGGUGUCUCUCCCAGAUCUCACGCUGACCCAAGCGUAGCCAGGCUACAACAGAAGCUGAAGACUGCUGCCCAGCGCAUCACACAGCUGGUGCGAGAGAAAGAACAGCUCAUUCAGAUGGGGAACAAGUUACGCGCAGAACUGUCACGUGUGAGAGGUGAAGAUAUGAAAGGUUCAUCUUUUAUGCGUCACGCCGCUGACCACCACAGGCCUCGUGCUCCAUCUACACCCAGUCCCGUCAAACUCACACCAGAUGAAAUGGCAGACGAUCUGCAGACCAAACUAAGUGCAAUGGAAAAACUACAAUACGCACUGACUACACACGAGCUACAAGUAGCACAGCGCAUGGCAGAACAACAGAAGAUUGCCGCUGGACAGGUACAGGUGACUGUGAGGUCGAGCUCCAGUGACACGUCACCUUCAGAUUCUAAUGAGGCCAGAAUACAAGCUAACAAACCAGAAACUAAAGAACCGCGUCGUCACGCAAGUCUUAAACCAGUGUCACGCAAACAACCUUCGCCUGAGCCAGUGAUACAUAGUCAGCAGCGAUCAUCAUCUCCUUACCAGGAGCACGCACUUUUUACUUCGUCUUCAGAAGGUCAAGCCUCGCUGCAAGAGAUUUGGAAACUGCUUGACGAAGAAGAAAGUUUUCGAAGUUUGAGCCCUGUGAAAGAACGACCCAGUUCCCAGACUCCUGAUCAUAUACCUGCCAGGGAGGGGUCUGGAGAGAGUGAUGGGUUUACAGUCAAAGGCAAGAAAGCUGUGCCUGAGAAAAAAGGACAAAAAGAAAAACCAAGAUUGUCGCAGAAAGCACAGGGUAAAAUGAGAGUGAUAGCACAGAAACCACUGGUAAGGAAUUAUAAUGUACAGGAUGAUAAACAAUGGAAAAGAACGGGUAGAUAGAUAGCACUGGACAUCAUGAUGAUGGUAAUGAUGGUGCUGAUGAUGAUGCUGAUGAUUAUUAUAUACAGGGGAAAAGAACGGGUAGAUAGAUAGCACUGGACAUGAUGAUGGUGGUGACAAUAAUGAUUAUUAUGGUGAUGACACGACGACGAUGAUAAUAAUGGUGGUGAUAACGAUGAUGGUAAUGUGGAUAAUGAUGGAGAUGAUGAUCAUCACUUCUUUCGUGGCAUCAUUUUUUGAUGGAAUUCUCGUUGAAAUAUGGAUUAAUGGACAGAAAGAACAUUCACAAUACAGAUACAGAUACAGACGAGAAACACGUUGAUAAGGCUUGCCUUAUAUUUAUUUUAACAACGAUCAGUUAAUCAUAUCUUAUUGUGUAAUCGAUAUAUUUUAUAUACAUUAUAUAUUUAGUUUCAAUCAA
rnacentral:misc_RNA from 1 species